CCUCGUUCUGGGAGAGGCAAGUUGUCAUACUGUGGAGGGGCUCACAUGGCAAGGAACCAAGGGAGGUCUCCAGCUAGCAGCCCACAAAGAACUGAGGUUCUCAGUCCAACAACACCUGAAGAGCUGAAUCCUGCCAACAACUGCAUGAGUGAGCUUGAAAACAAUCAUCCCAUAAUUCUGGAAGACACCUUGACUACAGCCUUCCAAGAGACACUGAGCCAGAGGCACCUACCUAAGCCAAGGUCAGAUGUCUGACUACAGAAGCUGAAACCAGAGAAGCCCCAGGUGCUUGCUGGGCUGAUCAGUGUAAUGGGUAGAGAGAAGAACCAGAAGAAGCCUAAAGGGAUCAUCCUGUCACAGACUUUCUCUCCUAACACCUUUUCUGUACACUGAGCCACCAUGUAAGAAGUUCAGCUACCCUGCUGGGGAGAGUACCAAGACAGACUCUGUGACUACAUGGAGGGGAAGAGGGUGCAGUCAGCCUUACAGCCAUUUUCGCCAAGGUACCAGGUAUGUAAGUAAAGUCAUCUUGAAACCUCCAGACCAGACCAGCCACCAACUAAAUACCACCACAUCAUGUAAUCUCAGUAAAUGCUAUGUGGAACAGGACCAUUCAGUCAAACCCUGCCAGAAUCUCAGACUUAUAAAAUCACUAGAUAUAAUAAAACAAUUGUUGCAAACCAGUAAGUUUGGGUAGUUCGUAAUUCAGUAGACAAAUGGAGAAGUUGUGCUCUAAGAAAACAGAAGUCUAAGAAAAUAGAAGACUUAGAGCAAUUUUAGUUAGACUGGUGCUUUGGCUGGAAUGGGCCACCUCCAAAAUUCAGGUGUUGCCAAUAUGUUAGUAUUAACAGGUGGGGUCUUUAA